AUGAGGAAGGUGUGCCCCAACCUAGACCGGGAGGACGGCCUCGACACCGUGCUCGAGGUGCCGGUCCCCGAGCUCCACCAGGAGGUGCCGGCCCGCCGGCGCCGACGCCGCACGGUCAAGGCGUGGAUGCGGUCGCACAUGCACAUCGAUCACCACCAUAUGCAUCAUCGUGACGGCGUGCAGGUCAUGCUCGGCGUGAUGGGCGCGCCGCUGGUGCCUCAGCCCGUGCAGCCCAGGAGGCCCAUGGGCGGACGUGACAGCAAGGAGGAACCCCUGGAGCUAUCCAAGGCGAGGUAUAUAGUGGAGCAGUACGUGGCGGCGGCCGGCGGCGAGGCGGCGCUGAGCGCGGCGACUAGCAUGUUCGCCAUGGGGAAGGUGCGGAUGAGCAGCACUACAUCCAAGAGCAGCAAGGCAACAAAGAAGGGAAUGGGCGAGGUGCACGGAGGAUUUGUGGUGUGGCAGAAGAAGCCGGAGCUCUGGUGCGUGGAGAUGGUCAUGGCCGGUGGCACCAAGAUGAGCGCCGGCAGCGACGGCAAGGUUGCCUGGCGCCAGACGCCGUGGCAGCAGCAGGCCCACGCCUCCCGGGGGCCCCCGCGACUGAUCCGCAGAUGCGUUCAGGGUUUGGACCCCAAAUCCACGGCGGAUCUCUUCUCCAGCGCCGCGUCUGCCGGCGAGGAAGCAGUCGACGGCGAGGACUGCUUCGUGCUCCGCGUCGACGCGGAACCCUCCGCUCUGCACGCCCGCAGCAGCGCCGACGUGGAGGUGAUCCGGCACGCGCUAUGGGGAUACUUCAGCCAGAGGACGGGGCUGCUCGUCCGUCUCGAGGACAGCCACCUGUUGCGCAUCCCCAGGCCGGCCGACGCAGGUGGCGAGGGCAAGGCCGCUUCCGCGAGCAUGUACUGGGAGACCGCCAUGGCGUCCACCAUCGGCGACUACCGCCCCCUCGACGGCAUCAACAUCGCGCACGCCGGCCGCACCAUCGUCUCGGUGUCCCCGUUCACGAGGGCCGCCGGAGCAGUAGACGACGUCGACGCCGACGCGCGCAGGAAGAGACCGUGCACGUGCAUGGAGGAGACGUGGAGCAUCGAGGAGGUGGAGUUCAACAUUGCGGGGCUGUCCACGGAGUGCUUCCUGCCUCCCAGGGACCUUCUGCUCAGCGAUUCCAAAGAGCAGCCGCGGCACAACAAGGAGCAAGGCGAUAAGGCGGCAAAGGGUGCUCGGGACAGCGUCAAGGCCGCCUAUGACAGCGACGGUGGCUGCGGGAUCCGCGCGGCUGUGCCGAAGAAGGCACUUGUUCCGGUUGUGACUGGACUGGGUUGGUUUGGUCCGGCCAAGGUUGCCGCGGUUGACAGCUUAGACGCUGCCGACGAGUCCAAAGACGCGACGUACGCAUCGACAAGAUGA
rnacentral:rRNA from 1 species